UACGAAGGGGGCUAGCGUUGUUCGGAUUUACUGGGCGUAAAGGGCGCGUAGGCGGCCACCGCAAGUCAGUUGUGAAAUCUCUGGGCUUAACCCAGGACGGUCAGCUGAUACUGCGGGGCUAGAGUGCAGAAGGGGCAACUGGAAUUCUCGGUGUAGCGGUGAAAUGCGUAGAUAUCGAGAGGAACACCUGCGGCGAAGGCGGGUUGCUGGGCUGACACUGACGCUGACAGCGCGAAAGCUAGGGGAGCGAACGGG
rnacentral:rRNA from 1 species